rnacentral:rRNA from 1 species
GCAGUCGAGCGGUAGAGAGAAGCUUGCUUCUCUUGAGAGCGGCGGACGGGUGAGUAAUGCCUAGGAAUCUGCCUGGUAGUGGGGGAUAACGUCCGGAAACGGACGCUAAUACCGCAUACGUCCUACGGGAGAAAGUGGGGGCUCUUCGGACCUCACGCUAUCAGAUGAGCCUAGGUCGGAUUAGCUAGUUGGUGGGGUAAAGGCUCACCAAGGCGACGAUCCGUAACUGGUCUGAGAGGAUGAUCAGUCACACUGGAACUGAGACACGGUCCAGACUCCUACGGGAGGCAGCAGUGGGGAAUAUUGGACAAUGGGCGAAAGCCUGAUCCAGCCAUGCCGCGUGUGUGAAGAAGGUCUUCGGAUUGUAAAGCACUUUAAGUUGGGAGGAAGGGUCGUUACCUAAUACGUGGCGAUUUUGACGUUACCGACAGAAUAAGCACCGGCUAACUCUGUGCCAGCAGCCGCGGUAAUACAGAGGGUGCAAGCGUUAAUCGGAAUUACUGGGCGUAAAGCGCGCGUAGGUGGUUUGUUAAGUUGGAUGUGAAAUCCCCGGGCUCAACCUGGGAACUGCAUCCAAAACUGGCAAGCUAGAGUAGGGCAGAGGGUGGUGGAAUUUCCUGUGUAGCGGUGAAAUGCGUAGAUAUAGGAAGGAACACCAGUGGCGAAGGCGACCACCUGGG